rnacentral:misc_RNA from 2 species
AACGCACAUUGCGCCUGCUAGCAUUCUGGCAGGCAUGCCUGUUCGAGCGUCAUUUCAACCCUCAAGCCUUUUGCUUGGUGUUGAGGUUCUAUAAUUAUAGGCCUCUAAAUCUAUUGGCAGAACGUCAUAAACUCUCAAUUGUAGUAAAUUUUAUUUCUAUUGAAGAAUUUUGACUUUUCUAGCCGUAAAACACAGCGUGCUCUUUUGAGCCCUAAUUUUUACAAGGUUGACCUCGGAUCAGGUAGGAAUACCCGCUGAACUUAA